rnacentral:rRNA from 1 species
GGCGGACGGGUGAGUAACACGUGGGUAACCUGCCCUUAAGUGGGGGAUAACAUUUGGAAACAGAUGCUAAUACCGCAUAGAUCCAAGAACCGCAUGGUUCUUGGCUGAAAGAUGGCGUAAGCUAUCGCUUUUGGAUGGACCCGCGGCGUAUUAGCUAGUUGGUGAGGUAACGGCUCACCAAGGCGAUGAUACGUAGCCGAACUGAGAGGUUGAUCGGCCACAUUGGGACUGAGACACGGCCCAAACUCCUACGGGAGGCAGCAGUAGGGAAUCUUCCACAAUGGACGCAAGUCUGAUGGAGCAACGCCGCGUGAGUGAAGAAGGCUUUCGGGUCGUAAAACUCUGUUGUUGGAGAAGAAUGGUCGGCAGAGUAACUGUUGUCGGCGUGACGGUAUCCAACCAGAAAGCCACGGCUAACUACGUGCCAGCAGCCGCGGUAAUACGUAGGUGGCAAAGCGUUAUCCGGAUUUAUUGGGCGUAAAGCGAGCGCAGGCGGUUUUUUAAGUCUGAUGUGAAAGCCCUCGGCUUAACCGAGGAAGCGCAUCGGAAACUGGGAAACUUGAGUGCAGAAGAGGACAGUGGAACUCCAUGUGUAGCGGUGAAAUGCGUAGAUAUAUGGAAGAACACCAGUGGCGAANGCGGCUGUCUGGUCUGUAACUGACGCUGANGCUCGAAAGCAUGGGUAGCGAACANGAUUAGAUACCCUGGUAGUCCAUGCCGUAAACGAUGAAUGCU